rnacentral:rRNA from 1 species
CUAUGACGUGUAGGGGAGGUGAGAGCCUGAGCCCCACCAUUGGAACUGCGACACGGUCCAAACUCCUACGGGAGGCUGCAGUCGAGAAUCUUCCGCAAUGCACGAAAGUGCGACGGAGCGACGCCGCGUGAUGGAUGAAGUAUUUCGGUAUGUAAACAUCUUUUAUAGGUGAGGAAGUAUAUUGACGUUAGCCUAUGAAUAAGGGGCUCCUAAUCUCGUGCCAGCAGGAGCGGUAAUACGAGAGCCCCGAGCGUUAUCCGGAAUUAUUGGGCGUAAAGGGUCCGUAGGUGGUCACAUUAGUCUCUUGUCAAAGACCCGUGCUCAACACGGUGGCGGCAAGAGAAACGGUGUGACUUGAGUCUGUGAGGGGUAUGCGGAACUCAUGGUGUAGGGGUGAAAUCCGUUGAUAUCAUGGGGAACACCAAAAGCGAAGGCAGCACACUGGCACAGCACUGACACUAAGGGACGAAACCCUGGGUAGCGAAUGGGAUUAGAUACCCCAGUAGUCCAGGGCCUAAACGAUCUCGAUUAGCUUUGUGGAGUAUCGACCCUCUGCGAGGCGUAGCUAACGCGUUAAAUCGAGCGCCUGGGAAGUACGAGCGCAAGCUUAAAACUCAAAGGAAUAGACGGGGACUUGCACAAGCGGUGGAUCAUGUGGUUUAAUUCGAUGCUAAACGAAGAACCUCACCAAGGCUAGACAUUAAGCCGUAUGGGUUUCUAGAAACAGAAACCCCUUCAGGCUUAACAGGUGUUGCAUGGCCGUCGUCAGUUCGUGGUUUGAAUUGUUCCCUUAAGUGGGGUAACGAACGAAACCCUCGUCGUGUGUUUUAUAUGUCACGCGAGACUGCCCCCUCAAUGAACAUGAAUGUG